rnacentral:rRNA from 1 species
UACGGAGGGUGCAAGCGUUAUCCGGAUUCACUGGGUUUAAAGGGUGCGUAGGUGGGCAGGUAAGUCAGUGGUGAAAUCUCCGGGCUUAACCCGGAAACUGCCGUUGAUACUAUUUGUCUUGAAUAUAGUGGAGGUGAGCGGAAUAUGUCAUGUAGCGGUGAAAUGCUUAGAUAUGACAUAGAACAUCGAUUGCGAAGGCAGCUCGCUACACUAUUAUUGACAAUGAGGCACGAAAGCGUGGGGAUCAAACAGG